UCUCCGUAGGUGAACCUGCGGAAGGAUCAUUCAUAAUAAGUGUUUUACUGCACUUUUUAAUAAUCAGUAUUCACCUUUUGUGCAAUGUUUGCUGACGAGUUCGCAUUUUUACGCGUUCUUGACAGCAUAAUACCAACCCUUUAUUGAAAUUUUUUGUCUGAAGAUUUUUUGAAUACAUAAUUCGAAAUACAACUUUUAACAACGGAUCUCUUGGCUCUC
rnacentral:misc_RNA from 1 species